rnacentral:rRNA from 1 species
UACAGAGGGUGCAAGCGUUAAUCGGAAUUACUGGGCGUAAAGCGUGCGUAGACGGUUAUGUAAGUCGGGUGUGAAAGCCCCGGGCUCAACCUGGGAAUGCCAUUCGAGACUGCAUAGCUAGGGUGCGGAAGAGGGAAGCGGAAUUUCCGGUGUAGCGGUGAAAUGCGUAGAUAUCGGAAGGAACACCAGUGGCGAAGGCGGGUUGCUGGGCUGACACUGACGCUGAAGCGCGAAAGCUAGGGGAGCGAACGGG